rnacentral:rRNA from 1 species
UACGUAGGGGGCAAGCGUUGUCCGGAUUUAUUGGGCGUAAAGAGCGUGUAGGCGGCCAGGUAGGUCUGCUGUGAAAACUCGAGGCUCAACCUCGAGACGUCGGCGGAAACCAUCUGGCUAGAGUCCGGAAGAGGAGAGUGGAAUUCCUGGUGUAGCGGUGAAAUGCGCAGAUAUCAGGAAGAACACCCGUGGCUAAGGCGGCUCUCUAGUACGGUACUGACGCUGAGAUGCGAAAGCGUGGGGAGCGAACAGG